rnacentral:rRNA from 1 species
UACGGGGGGAGCAAGCGUUUGUUCGGAUUUACUGGGCGUAAAGGGCGCGUAGGCGGCCACGCAAGUCGACUGUGAAAUCUCCGGGCUUAACCCGGAAAGGUCAGCCGAUACUGCGGGGCUAGGAGUGCAGAAGGGGCAACUGGAAUUCUCGGAUGUAGCGGUGAAAUGCGUAGAUAUCGAGAGGAACACCUGCGGCGAAGGCGGGUUGCUGGGCUGACACUGACGCUGAGGCGCGAAAGCUAGGGGAGCGAACGGG